GAGAGAGAGAAUCCUAAACUGACUCUGCCCUGAGCGCAGAGACCCACAUGGGGCUUGAUCUCAAGACCCAGAGAUGGCAACCAGAGCUGAAACCAAGAGUUGGAGGCUUGACCGACUGCACCACUGAAACGCCCCAUAGAUAUUCACUUUUAAAAUGAUGAAGUCAGAAACGCAGAGCAUUUCAAAUCCGCAGAUAUUUCCAUUGCAUUGACUGGAGAGGAGGUAUGGAAGAGAACAGUCCAGAAGAGUCACUGAGGCAAACCUCAAGUUGUGGCACAGAUAAAGAGAUUGACAUUACAUCCAUUCCUUUUCUCUGGAAUCACAAGUUUAAGCAUUGUACUCAGCAGUAGUAAUACUAGAUCUUUAAAGAUCUAGUAAGGCAUGCAAAAAAUAAAUAAGUAACAAGCAAUCUAUAAGUAGUGAUUCUUUGGUUUAAUUCAAACAUUCACUUUUUCUAGAUAACAUCUUAAAAAUAUAAUUUUUUCUUUCAAAUUAAAUUGUCUUCUUUCUGUUGUUGCCAUUCUUUGGUUCAUUUUGUAUUACCAGUAACAUUUGUAAGAUCACAUUAUAAUAAUAGUAACAAGGAAUGCUGGGGUGACUCAGCUGGUUAAGUGGCUCAGGUCAUGAUCUCAGGAUCCUGGGAUCGAGCCCCACAUCUGGCUCUCUGCUCUGUAGGGAGUCUGCUUCUCCCUCUCCCUCUGUUCUCUUACUCUCUCAAAUUAAUAAACAAAAUCUUAAAAAAAUAAUAAUGACAAUGUUAAAGAAUUAAUAGAUUUAACAAUCCUAAAAGACAUAAAUCUAACCUUAUUAAUCCUGGCAUCCUCAAGGCUAGGACAGAGCCUGGCACCUAUUCAGUCCUUUAUAAAUUUGUGUUAAAUUUGUGUUAAAUGUAGCUGGCACUGAAAAAAUGCUGUAGUCCUAGGAAAAGCGUUAUGUUGUCCAAGAUAAAUCACAUACCUGGAGUCAGUUGUUAAGAUCCUUUGACUUAUUUGGUACUCUGCUAAAGUCUUUCUCCCUAUUCUGGAAGCUCAUUUAAUCCAACUAUAGUUUUUUGGUAGCAACGGUUUAUAAUCCUACUAAAGAAGGAGGAAGGGCAGCCCGGGUGGCGCAGCGGUUUAGCGCCACCGUCAGCCCGGGGCGUGAUCCUGGAGACCCGGGAUCGAGUCCCACGUCAGGCUCCCUGCAUGGAGCCUGCUUCUCCCUCUGCCUGUUUCUCCCUCUGCCUGUGUCUCUGCCUCUCUCUCUCUCAUGAAUAAAUAAAAAUAAAAACAUUAAAAAAAAAAAAAAAAAAAGAAGGAGGAAGACCAGGACAAAGGAGGGGGAGAAGAGAAGGAAAAAAAAAGGAAAAAGGUAUAUAAACAACAUUUUUCUACCUUAUCUCUCUUAUUGCUUUUUGUUCAUAGUGAGCCAUCUAAGAAGUAGAUUUGGGUCCAGAAGAGAUGGUCUAUACCAGGUGUUCAAUUAGAUAUCCUAUAGUCCAUAUUCAGCCCACAGAUAUGCUUUCUUGGCCCUAGACAACAUUUUUCUGGAUUUUAAGAUAUGUAAAUGGUUUUCAAUAUUUUAAAAUCCAGAAAUUUGCACAAAUAUCUAAAUUCUGAUCUUUCUUGAAUAAAAAUGAGAAGAAUUAACAAAAGUAGUCUCUUAUUCUCACCAGGUGG
rnacentral:lncRNA from 1 species